ACGAACGCUGGCGGCGCGCUUAAAACAUGCAAGUCGAACGUGAAGCUCGGAGCUUGCUCCGGGUGGAAAGUGGCGAACGGGUGAGGAACACGUGAGGAACCUGCCCCGAAGACCGGGAUAACACCGGGAAACCGGUGCUAAUACCGGAUGCCCUCACCGGAUCGCAUGAUCCGAUGAGGAAAUGGAUUCCGCUUCGGGAUGGCCUCGCGCACUAUCAGCUUGUUGGUGGGGUAAUGGCCCACCAAGGCUACGACGGUUAGCUGGUCUGAGAGGAUGUCCAGCCACACUGGGACUGAGACACGGCCCAGACUCCUACGGGAGGCAGCAGUUAGGAAUCUUGCGCAAUGAGCGAAAGCUUGACGCAGCGACGCCGCGUGCGGGAUGACGGCCCUCGGGUUGUAAACCGCUUUCAGCAGGGACGAAAUUGACGGUACCUGCAGAAGAAGCCCCGGCCAACUACGU
rnacentral:rRNA from 1 species